rnacentral:tRNA from 3 species
GCCGCUGUGGCUUAGUGGUAUAGCAUCUGAUUCGUAAUCAGAAGGCCGAGGGUUCAAAUCCCUUCAGCGGCUCCA